UGGUCCUAGCCUUUUAAUUGGAGGCCUGCAUGAAUGGCUUGACGAGCGCCCUGCUGUCUCUCUUCCCAUGAACUUUUAAAUUAACUUUCGCGUGCAAAGGCGCGAAUGGCUGAGUUAGACGAAAAGACCCUAUGCAUCUUUACUGAGAGAGAAGAAAGUUCUUUAGCUUGGUUUAGCUGGGGCAGCUGAGGAAAAGGCAAAAUUUCCUUAAUAUAAAUCAUACUGGUGGGUUUAGAUCCAGGCUCUUUAGCGGGCUUGACAAGUAGAAAAGUUACGCUAGGGAUAACAGCGUUAUCCUUCUGUGGAGGUCUUAUCUGCAGGAGGGAUUGCGACCUCGAUGUUGAAUUAGGGAUAUACCAGAAAGGCGCAGAAGCUUUUAUUGUGGGUCUG
rnacentral:rRNA from 1 species